CCUCCCUUCACUCACCACCCUCUCUCUCCUCCGCCCACCACCCCUCUUUACUCCCCUCAAGUCGAGAGACUUCUGUGUCUUCUCCGACGAUGACGACGGCGAUGGUAAGUAUGAAAUGGACGAUCUCAAACUUCAGUUCUCUCUCAUCUAUCUCUCUCCCCUCUUUCGAUCGAUCUUUCUGCAUUUCUCAAGUUUGUCGAUUUGUUUGAUCCUUCUAUUUCACGAUUCAAUGAUUCGGCGAUUGGCCUUCACACGACCCUCACAACUCUGCCCUUCUGAUCCUGCAAAUGCCUCCGAUCAGCGGGUGCAGCAUUAAGUCCUAAAUAUGCACACGAUGCCUCUGAGAUGUGGAUGACCGAGGCUGAAAUGGCUUUUCCGAACUAGAGGUUUUAUGCGGUCAGUGGGGAGGUUAAGGAUUUGCAAGUUUCUGGGUUGUUUUUUGCUAUAGGGCAUGAACCGGCUACUAAGUUUUUGGGUGGGCAGCUGGAGUUGGAUGAUGAUGGCUAUGUGGUGACUACACCGGGGACGACGAAGACCAAUGUUAAAGUGGAGACGCAUCAAGGAGAAGAAUCAACAAUCCGGGAAAAAUAUCUACGAAAGAAGAAAUUUAGUAAUAUGAUGCAAAUUUUGAACUGUUUUAGUUGUUUUUACUUUUUAGUACUGGAUUUGAGUAAAUUGUGUUCAUUUCUUAUUUUAAGGAAAAUCGCCACGAAUUAUGUAAUUUGGUCUGGUUUGUGACAAUAUAUCCAUCU